rnacentral:rRNA from 1 species
ACGUGUAGCAGUGAAAUGCGUAGAGAUGUGGAGGAACACCGAUGGCGAAGGCAGCCUCCUGGGAUAACACUGACGCUCAUGCACGAAAGCGUGGGGAGCAAACAGGAUUAGAUACCCUGGUAGUCCACGCCCUAAACGAUGUCAACUGGUUGUUGGAAGGGUAACCUUUUAGUAACGAAGCCAACGCGUGAAGUUGACCGCCUGGGGAGUACGGUCGCAAGAUUAAAACUCAAAGGAAUUGACGGGGACCCGCACAAGCGGUGGAUGAUGUGGUUUAAUUCGAUGCAACGCGAAAAACCUUACCUACACUUGACAUGCCAGAAAUCCUGCAGAGAUGUGGGAGUGCCGCAAGGAAUCUGGGCACAGGUGCUGCAUGGCUGUCGUCAGCUCGUGUCGUGAGAUGUUGGGUUAAGUCCCGCAACGAGCGCAACCCUUGUCACUAGUUGCUACAUUUAGUUGGGCACUCUAGUGAGACUGCCGGUGACAGACCGGAGGAAGGUGGGGAUGACGUCAAGUCCUCAUGGCCCUUAUGUGUAGGGCUACACACGUCAUACAAUGGUCGGUACAGAGGGUUGCCAACCCGCGAGGGGGAGCUAAUCUCACAAAGCCGAUCGUAGUCCGGAUCGCAGUCUGCAACUCGACUGCAUGAAGUCGGAAUCGCUAGUAAUCGUGGAUCAGCAUGUCUCGGUGAAUACGUUCCCGGGUCUUGUACACACCGCCCGUCACACCAUGGGAGUGGAAUCCGCCAGAAGUAGUUAGCCUAACCGCAAGGAGGGCGAUUACCACGGUAGGUUUCAUGACUGGGGUG